CUCCCGUCGCUCGUGAGCUCAUCCAUUCCGUCGCCGCACUCGGCAGCUACCACGCAUGGAUUGCUUCCGUCGCAUCGGGGAAUCUUCAUCUUUUGCUUCCGAGGCUAGUGCUUUGCUUUCAUUGAAGCUCUUAUUUUGGGAAUGUGUCGUCAGUCACAAGUCAAAUCCAUUCAGGCAGCAAAUUCACACCAAUUAUCUAUUUUAUUUUAUCCAACGAAAAAUACACUUUCCGUAUCCUUACCUUGAGUUUAUUGAACAAAUCAGUAAUAAGAUGUUGCAUCCUUUAUUAUUCAAGUUCACUGAACAAUUCGGUGAGUUUUAUAUGUUCAGUGUAGUUCAGUGUAGAACGACGUAGUAUACCAUUGGAAUCAAUGCCAACAAUUAUCUGGCUUUAUCCAUUUUCAUGUGAAUGCAAAAAGAAGGAAUAGAUAACAAAGUGUCAUACCGUACUUGUUCUUUCCACUGCCCACACAUCACACAUGACAUUUCAAUUCAUGCUCCUGCGCAUUUUCAUUCCGUUGAAGCAAAGUAACCACCAUUCUGUUCUCCUUCUGCAUUACUCGGCUAGUUGCUACUUCCACAUUAAGAUUGGAUGAAUCUAUCUGGGUAUCUUAUUCCCAGUUCAUCGUAUACAAGCAAUUUAACUUGAUGCCUAAUUCAGUUUCUGGCCACAGUUUGUCAUGUUCACAUCCGGAAUAGUGAGUUUGCUGAUAGUACAUGCCCACUUUUGUCAAUUUGCAUAUCUUUCUGUUUCCUCUCACAAGUGGUCAGUGGGUAGGACAGGAGAGCGGUUAAUGAGAAGACCUCUUGGGAUGGACACACUAAUCAAGUCAAAAGCAGCAUCUCCACAAUAAACAGACCAUUAUAUAGUAUGGAGCCAACAUCAUAUCUUCCAAUCCAAACAAACACCUAUUUACCAUUGAAUUGAGCUUUGGAGGAAAAGCAGGCGAGCCCUACCAAACAGGCAUGCCCUGGCUAGGAUGAAGCUAAGAUCUUUCAUCAUUUCUUGUAAAUGAGCUAGAUUGCUGCACAUACGUAGGCACCAUCUCGGCAGACUAAGCAUCAAAUCUGCAUAUGGACUUAGAUGUGCACUGGUUCUGCGCUUAAGCCUGGAAUCAUUAUUACGGUGAUACAGUAGUAAUCGCUCAUUAUUACCAACGCGUGAGUGGAGUGUGAAUCGAUCGGCACGACCAACGCCAAGCCUCUCUCGUGCAGAGUAAUCAAACAUGCUGCAGUCAAAGCAUCAGAGUACAGUACGUCUAAAUAUUUUUUAGCAGAUAGCCUAGUACAUGAGCAAGAUUAUAGUGAGCUAGCCUCGGUGGAACCGCUCCACCACACGUGUUCACUAGUCGCUGAUGCUCGGUUUUUCAUGACUGCAUAUCUUGUCAGGAAACCAAUUAAGCCAAAACUGUCAAGGGAAAAUUUCUCUGAUGGCCACAGUCAGGGACAAACUCUCAGGGAAGGUGUUACUUGAUGGAAACUGCUAUUGUUUCCCUAACACGUGGUGCCUUAUAACCACCAAGGCGAUUGAGCAUGAUAUAUAUUUCUUGCACACUGUAAAGGCCGCCGACCAACAGGAUCCCACCCAAAACGCUGAAGAAAAGGAGAAGAGAUCAUUUCGGUGUCAUUUGAAAGAUCUUGAUAUUAUUACUAUUGACACCAGUUUUUCAAAAAAAAUUACUAUUGACACCUGAAAAAUUUAUGGUCGCUACAGGUAUGUACCUUCCAAGAUGGACGGUUUCGCCUAGGAGGGAGGAGCAGAGCAGGGUGAGGAGCAGGCUCAACGGGUUCCACAUGGCGAGGAAGACGGGCCCUUUCAUGCCCACGCACCAUGUCUGCAGCUGAUUGAUGGAGCGACGGAAUACUUGAGAUGACGUACGGAGUAUGCAACCGCGACCAAGGAGAGAUCGAGGCCAAGCUUCCAUCUGGAGAAUCCAUGGUCCCUCUCCAUGGCCACCGCGACGACGAACGACUGGAUCGUGACGAAGAGGCACUGUAUCAGUGCUGCAAGCAGCUUGUUCGGGUACUCCUUGAGCAACAGCCCCUGCACCACUGAGGAAUGAAUGAAGAAGAAUAAGAAGAAGAAGAGGAGGAAUUGAUUGACCUGGAAGAUGAACCAGAGGGACCAGGCUACGCAGGCGAGGAGCAUAAGAAACGUCGCCGUAACCCACAAGCCCUUGGAGACGGCACCAUGUGCUGCCGCAGCCUUCUUGCUGCCGUGGCCGGCGAGGACACGGUGGCGGUUCAGGGGGCUCAGCAAUGGCCCGGCAUACAGGGCGAUGGCCAGGACUCCGGCGAGGCAGAGCGUGAUCCCGGCGGCCUUGGCCAACCCCGACGAGCUCUUCAGCUUCAUCGCCUCCAUCCUGCAUAUAUCAGAUGCUAAUAUUGGUCAUGAUCAAUGCCAUCACCAUCUGGAAGCUAUGACCUACGUUACCUCAGCAGCAACGCCAGGAAGAAGGUGAUGACGGGGAUUGAGCAGCCGCCGCGGCCGUGGCGGAGGUGUACUUGAGGCUGGUGUUGUACAGGCAUGACCCCAGUGUGCUAUAUCAAUCAGAACAACAACAAUCAGAACUUGGGUCAACUGACACAUAUCUACGACAUGAUGAUGCUUCCAACUUGAUCAUCCAGUGCCGUGAAGAUCUCGACAUGCAUACUUGACCAGGGAGUAGAAGAAUAUCUUGAGCAGCAGCCGGAAAGACAUUGGCGGCGCGUUUCGCCUGCGACAAGAGCUGGAUCUCGAUGAUUUCAUGCAUGAGCAAGAGCAUCCAUGGCAAUCAAAGAGCUUGAAAUCAUGGAGGCACCUUUCGAGGAGGACGGCCACGGGAAGCAGGAGCAGACACGCGGCGACCUGGCGGUAGAGGAUGUAGACGAAGAUGCUGAGCCCCUGGUCGAAGGACGCCUUGGAAAUCACGGUGGCCGCGGCGUAGAUGGCCUGGAUCGCCACGCCCACGGCGUACGGCCUCGUCUUCCUCCCCGCGCCCAUCGUCGCGCUUGCUCUGCUAGCUGCUCGGUCGCGUCGCGUGGCGUCCAAUUUACUAGUGGAGUGGAGUGGAGUGGAGUCCCGUGCUGGCCGGCCAGUUGACUUCUUGUGCUUUUUACAAUUUGACUAGCAAGACCGCACUCACACUCACACUACCGUGAGCAAGUGCCUGAAACAGUAGAGGUGUAGUGAUGCGGGUAGAGUCAGUCACUCUCUCUUACUGCCGUGAGUUGUCAGGUAUAGUAGAAAUAAUUCAUCAUGGCGCUGAAGACUUAUUUUUUUUUUGUCAAUAUCGAUACUUGGAUUAAGUAGUA